rnacentral:lncRNA from 1 species
GUUGCUCAUUGCCUCUGGAUCAAAGCUCUGCUGGGUCAGAUUUGAUGCCCUCUCAGGCCCACAGUACCUAGCGCGAGCUGUAAUGCAGACCCCCUUCUGGUAUGAUCAUUCUUGGGUGGGAUAGAAAAUAGUUUGACCUGAAACACAUGGGUUUUUCUGUAUCCAGAAGACAUAUGCCCCUCAAAAUGUACGUUUGCUGUAAGGGUCCUGUGGGCAGAGUUGUCCUGUGAGUUGGCCUAGUUGAUCUGUCCCAUACUGGCUGCCUGACAUUGGCUGAGAUCCGCCGGGGUCAUUUACUUAUAAGACAGAGAGACAGCAUGUGACCCAAGGGACCAUCUCCUUGUAGCUGUCCAGCCUGUGACUUCCUCCUCUGUUGUCUCCCUCCCUCAAAGACUAUAUUUUUAGGCAUCAGUGAAUACCAUGAGAUAUGGGGUAUUCUUCUUUAAAAGGAAUGAUCCCAUAUUCUUCCUGGACUGCCACCCCAGAGAGGAAACAGGCAAGCAUCCCUGAGCUGUAUAGGACCUCAGCUGUAGGCCAGACAGUGCCAUGUGCCUCCCUUGACACUGAUGCUGUCCUCCCUGAACUAUGACCUUGGCUCCUUUCAGUUGGAUUCCACCUCCCAGGUGUGUUUAAAGGCACAGGCCACAGUUCCUUUCGCCCAUUUAGGAGACUUUAAAUAUAAAAUGCCAUCCUGGACAGCUCCCGCUCUUUCGACACUCAUUACAUCUAUCCACUUGAGAGAGUGACCGGGUCUUCCUCACUGGUGGAAGUUUGUGAUUCUGAUGGGAGUUAGCUUCUGAACCUCUAAGGAUUGCUUUUGCAUAGUUCCCACCUUCUCCACCCUCCACAACUGCCAAUUAGUCCCCCAGCCUCAGCCCCUCCUCCAAGACCUUAAACAAGACUUUAUUAGUUUCUGACCUCGUCUUUUAUACCCUGAGACCCCCUUUAUGGUCAUCUCCCAGGCAGGCAUCACUAGAUGGUAUUGUGGUGAUAUUGACUCCAUAGUAAACCACACUUUAGCCUUUAACACUUGGCUCAGAGCCACUGGUGGAAAACUAGCCCAAGGUCCACACCAGUGCCUGACUCUACUGAAGGAUGCUGGGCUUGAAAGAAACCCUAGGAAGCUAAAGGGAGACUGCUGAGGCUGGACAAGUGCCUGAAAAUAAGAGGGAUUGCAUGGGGAGGGGGGCAGAUGAUGAAGAAGAGCCGAGUAAGCUGAGUAAACUGGCUUUAUAGGCUUGAGGCAAGGGAAGAAGAAGAAAGGGCCUUACAACUGUGACUUAAGUGACUGCCUUUAUAGAGAAGGUUUUCAGUGUGACAUCUUAGAACACAUCUUUGCCAUUUGCAGUCCUUGUGUUUCUGCUGGCCAUGUGAUGUGGUGAGAGCAGUGACAUUGGGCUUUGUACCCGGGGAGAUGAGCUGGCUGGCUUCCAGCAGAGGGCUGGGCUUUGGGGUUAAAUCACCCAUUACACAAAGAUGAGUGUGUCCUUCAUCCCUCACAUCAACUGCUUAGCCCAGGUUAUGCCGAUUCUGGGGUAGGAGGAUUCACCUCCCAUGGGGUCCCAGUCUCUCCUCUCUCCCGGGAUCUUCAUCAGGACUAAAAGCCCUCCACGAGAGGCACACCGUCCCCAGCUAGGUCAAAACCAUUGUCUAUAUUUUGUGAGAGGGGACGGAAGUAAAAAAUGAACUCUGUGGUUCAAGACCUUUUUAUUUAGCCUUCCCAAAACAGCAAACUCAUUUUAAAGACUCAUUGCUCAGGUGACUGAAACUUUAUCCUCUCCAACCCAUCAUUCUCAAAAACCAGCCUUGUGUACUUGACUGCCCGGAACAGUGGCGGGCUAUGCGGUUUCACGGUGUUGUGGAAGAUCAAAGGUGGGGAAGCAUGGGGUGGGAACCCUGUGUUGUGUUUCAGAGGCCUCGGUGGGGCCCUGUGUUGUACUUCUUACCCUCUGGGGAAUGCCAAAGGCGUGAGACUGGGCUACUUCCUAGUCCCUAAGAAAAAUGUGAUUGAUUCUAAGGGCUGAUGGUUCAGGGCUGACUGCCCGUGGGCAGGCUCGGCUGUCCCCGCAGAAGCUGACCCACAGAUGUCUGGUGGUUCCCAGCAGCUCUAAUCCACUCAUCACCAGAACCCCACUGUUCUAAAUGUGCCCGUCAUUCUGAGGACUUCUGAACCCGCAGCUCUGGCAAAGGACGAUAAUGAGCUGCCUCUGGAUGACCAACACUGGAGACUCUGGCCUUACCAUGUGGAAAUAGUUUUCCUGAAGUCUGGAACUAAUUUUGAGAAGUUUUUUUCUCAACACUUUUGUGUUUCUAACACUGUAUUCUUGACUGUGUAAAUACCAACAAGGCUGUAAAUAAAUGCAGAUGUAGAUACCUUCUAGAAAAAAGGGGGGAAAGCAUAAAAACAAAACCAGAAGUGAUCCCGUGUAGCCUUCGUUGACAAAUAAAAGACUAUUUUGUGU